rnacentral:rRNA from 1 species
CCUACGGGAGGCAGCAGUGGGGAAUAUUGCACAAUGGGGGAAACCCUGAUGCAGCGACGCCGCGUGAAGGAAGAAGUAUUUCGGUAUGUAAACUUCUAUCAGCAGGGAAGAAAAUGACGGUACCUGACUAAGAAGCCCCGGCUAACUACGUGACAGCAGCCGCGGUCAUCCGUAGGGGGCAAGCGUUAUCCUGAUUUACUGGGUGGAAAGGGAGCGUAGGCGGGGAUACAAGGCAGAAGUGAAAGCCCGGGGCUCAACGCCGGGACUGCUGUUGAAACUGUGUUGCUAGAUUGCAGGAGAGGUAAGUGGAAUUCCUAGUGUAGCGGUGAAAUGCGUAGAUAUUAGGAGGAACACCAGUGGCGAAGGCGGCAUACUGGACUGUAAAUGACGCUGAGGCUCGAAAGCGUGGGGAGCGAACAGGAUUAGAUACCCUUGUAGUC